CGCGUAGGCGGUUGCUUAAGCGAGAUGUGAAAUCCCCGGGCUUAACCUGGGAAUGGCAUUUCGAACUGGGCGACUUGAGUUUUGGAGAGGAGAGUAGAAUUCCCGGUGUAGCGGUGAAAUGCGUAGAGAUCGGGAGGAAUACCAGUGGCGAAGGCGGCUCUCUGGCCAAAAACUGACGCUGAGGUGCGAAAGCGUGGGGAGCAAACA
rnacentral:rRNA from 1 species